UCGAACGACUUGAGCCUAGCGAUAUUAGUGGCGGACGGGUGAGUAACGCGUGGGUACCUGCCUUGUACUGGGGGACAACAGUUGGAAACGACUGCUAAUACCGCAUAAGUUCGCAUGAAAAAAACUCCGGUGGUACAAGAUGGACCCGCGUCUGAUUAGCUGGUUGGUGAGGUAACGGCCCACCAAGGCGACGAUCAGUAGCCGGCCUGAGAGGGUGAACGGCCACAUUGGGACUGAGACACGGCCCAAACUCAUACGGGAGGCAGCAGUGGGGAAUAUUGCACAAUGGGGGAAACCCUGAUGCAGCAACGCCGCGUGAGUGAAGAAGUAUUUCGGUAUGUAAAGCUCUAUCAGCAGGAAAGAAAAUGACGGUACCUGACUAAGAAGCCCCGGCUAACUACGUGCCAGCAGCCGCGGUAAUACGUAGGGGGCAAGCGUUAUCCGGAUUUACUGGGUGUAAAGGGAGCGUAGACGGUUUUGCAAGUCUGAAGUGAAAGCCGGGGCUUAACCCCGGGACUGCUUUGGAAACUGUAGAACUAGAGUGCAGGAGAGGUAAGUGGAAUUCCUAGUGUAGCGGUGAAAUGCGUAGAUAUUAGGAGGAACACCAGUGGCGAAGGCGGCUUACUGGACUGUAACUGACGUUGAGGCUCGAAAGCGUGGGGAGCAAACAGGAUUAGAUACCCUGGUAGUCCACGCCGUAAACGAUGAUUACUAGGUGUUGGUGGG
rnacentral:rRNA from 1 species